AACAAGAAAUGUCAUGUUAUUUACGGAAUCAUACGGGAUGUUGGGUUAUGGGGUUAAAAACAAACGUAAAAUUUAUUUUAACAAAGUAAUAGAUACUUACGACACAGUCUUACGAUACAUGUAAAAAAUACUAGAAAAUUCCAGGCUAAAGAGGUCAACAAACUGCAGGUUAAACGAAAUGUGUGUAAAAAAUUCUAACUCUAAUAAAAACUGAGACGAGGUAAUCAAGAGAAAAGUCUUUGCAGGGGUGGUGGAAUGGUAUUUUUGUAUGGUUGGUUUUUUAGCCGCAAACCAGUUAACGACUACGGUGCAUAAAUUGGGAAAAACUCACAAAAUGUAUUACCCAUUACCGGAGUAUAAACUGCAAAAUGUUUAGGUGGCAUUAUUAAAUCGCCAAAAAUCACAUCUUCAUUGAAGACUUUAAAAUGUCACACAAUUAAAACAGGAUGUACCGCUUCGUAAGGAUGUGCAAAGUUCACACAAACUUCGAAGAAGUGGUGGUGUAAGAAUUUUCGUAGUGAUGAGUAUCCACAAACAUACCAUAAACAGUUGUGUUCUUUCAAGGUGAGUUUCUGGUAACUCACAUCACUUAAUGAUUAUUGAAGAGGCCAGGAUACAGGGAAGAUGUGUUGUAGAAGUUUGUUUAAAAGAACACCUUAGCAAAUUUUUCAUUUUAAAUAAAAUAGUGUUUUACAGUUGGUUCUUGCACUUGUAUCGAAAUAAUCUGUAGUAAAUAGUUUCCGAAACGCUCUUUGGAAUUGUAUUGGUGUGGGAUUUAUACAAUUCCCAAAUUGACGCCUCACAGAGCCAAACAAAUAUGUCAAACAAUACUAAUUUAGUUGCAGCAACCUUUUAGUGAAAAUUGUAAACAAAUUGUAUUCUGUGAAAACUAUUAAAAAUAAUAAGCAAAAUGUUUAUGUUCCUGAA